rnacentral:rRNA from 1 species
CGGACGGGUGAGUAACGCGUGGAAAACCUGCCGUAUACUGGGGGAUAACACUUAGAAAUAGGUGCUAAUACCGCAUAAGCGCACAGCUUCGCAUGAAGCGGUGUGAAAAACUCUGGUGGUAUACGAUGGUUCCGCGUCUGAUUAGCUAGUUGGUGGGGUAAUGGCCUACCAAGGCAACGAUCAGUAGCCGGCCUGAGAGGGCGGACGGCCACAUUGGGACUGAGACACGGCCCAGACUCCUACGGAAGGCAGCAG